CCCUAGCCCAGAUAGAAGCGGCAUCCUUUUCCUUUUUUCUUUAAAAAGGAAAAGAUAUAGCGGAUAGCUGGAAAUAGC
ensembl:sRNA